rnacentral:rRNA from 1 species
CCAGACAGCCAGGAUGUUGGCUUAGAAGCAGCCAUCAUUUAAAGAAAGCGUAAUAGCUCACUGGUCGAGUCGGCCUGCGCGGAAGAUGUAACGGGGCUAAACCAUGCACCGAAGCUGCGGCAGCGACACUGUGUGUUGUUGGGUAGGGGAGCGUUCUGUAAGCCUGUGAAGGUGUGUCGUGAGGCAUGCUGGAGGUAUCAGAAGUGCGAAUGCUGACAUAAGUAACGAUAAAGCGGGUGAAAAGCCCGCUCGCCGGAAGACCAAGGGUUCCUGUCCAACGUUAAUCGGGGCAGGGUGAGUCGACCCCUAAGGCGAGGCCGAAAGGCGUAGUCGAUGGGAAACGGGUUAAUAUUCCCGUACUUGGUGUUACUGCGAAGGGGGGACGGAGAAGGCUAUGUUGGCCGGGCGACGGUUGUCCCGGUUUAAGCGUGUAGGCUGGUUUUCCAGGCAAAUCCGGAAAAUCAAGGCUGAGGCGUGACGACGAGGCACUACGGUGCUGAAGCAACAAAUGCCCUGCUUCCAGGAAAAGCCUCUAAGCAUCAGGUAACAUCAAAUCGUACCCCAAACCGACACAGGUGGUCAGGUAGAGAAUACCAAGGCGCUUGAGAGAACUCGGGUGAAGGAACUAGGCAAAAUGGUGCCGUAACUUCGGGAGAAGGCACGCUGACACGUAGGUGA